rnacentral:lncRNA from 1 species
GACCUGGAAGAGACCUCCGUCUUUCGGGGCUUGGAGAAGGCUCUACUGGGACCCGUGUGGAGGUGAAGAAAACCAUCCCUAUGGUGGUGGCCUGAGCAGAUUAUCUUAACCCCAAUGUUGCCCUGAGUUUUGUGUUCAAUAUUUGAGAAGAUUAGGACAGACAAGGAAAAAAAAAAAAAAAGCAAAAAAUGCUUAUAACCCAAAGUCUACUGGGAACCAGGAGAACAAAGGAGAUAGAGUUUGGGCUUGACUGCCUCCUCGUGGCAUCAUGGGCCUCUUCUGUGUCAUCAUCUGCAAGGAGGAGGUCCAGUACGAAUGAAAGGCAACUUAGAAUCACAGACCUGCUUUCAUUGUAUCUGUGAAUUUCUUGCUGCUGGGUUAAGUGUGGUAUAUACUUUGGGCUGGUCAUGAAUAGACUUUUCUUUUAGGAUGAAGCAUGUAUAUUUUCUCUCUGGGUAUUAUGGAAGCCUCCAAUCCCCAUGCACUGAGCUCCCACAUUUCCAUUGCUCUGAAAAAGUUCUGACAUGCUGGUGAAAAUGUGAGGGUGGCAUUUCAUACAAAUUCUUCUUUUGCCUUUAUUCCGGGUGUUUGUUUGUUUGUUUGUUUUUGGUAAAGGAGAUAAAUUAUUUUUCCCUCUUUGAAUCAAAGUGCAUUUAAAGCAGUUUAAGUGUAAAAACCAUUUAUUGAUUGUUUUCCAUUAACGUGGUUUCAGAGGCUAAGUAGGUAAUUUAACAAUCAGGUAGAAAAACCCUACAGUGUGCCUUUUCUGAGUCCUUGCACCAAUGAAAACAUUCUACAUAAUAGAUGUAUACUUGUGGUGCAUUUGUCUGCCCACACAUCCUUGAUGUGUUGGAAAGAAAAGCUACAAAAGCUCUUCUCUGCUUGUCCUGAAAACCUACAGAAACUUAGGGGUUUGGGUUGGGAUUUUGAUUACUGAGUUCUUUGCUUUGAGAGUGUUGAUCUUUAAUUCAGAAUGCCUGUGUCCUGUCAGGAAUUCACCUAGAUACUGAGUACUUAAAACAUAAGUUCAGCAGAGAAAGUUUUAAAGGACUGGGUCAUAAAAAUAUUUAUCUUUUAGAGACCAGUCAACUCUUAAGGCAAAAAUAAGCUCUCUCUGUUGACAGAAGGUAUGAGGAGAAGAACGUCUCCUUAGCGCUGUGUGUUCCUCAAAGGGCUAGAUUUCACCUAUAGUGUGGACAGGUAUGUACAGGACUCUGUAUGGACCAAAUUCCAGGAAGGAAGAAGGAAUUGAGAUGAUGUUGAUUCAUCAGUCUGCCACAGAACUGGGGAUGUAAAUUGGUGCAGCCACUAUAGAAGACAGUGUGGAGGUUCCUCAUAAGAACGAAAAAUAGAGUUGCCAUGUGAUCCAGCAGUCCCACUCCUGGGCGUAUGUCCAGACAAAACCAUAAUUCUAAAAGAUACAUGUACCUUCAUGUUUAUAGCAGCACUAUUCACAAUAGCUAAGGCAUGGAAACAGCCUAAAUGUCCACUGACAGAUCAACGAAUAAAGAAGAUGUGGUACAUACCAAUGGGAUGCUAUUCAGGCAGAAAAAAAAAAAUGAUAUAAUGCCAUUUGCAGCAACAUGGAUGGACCUAGAUACAAUCAUACUAAGUGAAGUAGGGCAGGCAAAGACAAAUACAUGGUUUCACUUAUGUGUUGUGUAAUCUAAAAUGUGACACAAUUUAUCUAUGAAACAUACACAGACAUAGAGAACAGACUUGUGGUUGCCAUGGUUGUGAGGGAGAGAUGGACUGGGAGUUUUGGAUUAGCUGAUGCAAACUAUUAUAUAUAGAAUGGAUAAACUGCAUUCUACUAUAUAAUACAUAAAUGUAUAAAUAUUUUCAAUUUCCUAUAGUAAACCACAAUCUGAAAGAGUACAUAUAUAUUAUGUAUAACUGACUCACUUUGUUAUAUGGAGGAAUGAACACAACAUUGUAAAUCAGCUAUGCUUUAAUAAAAUAAAAUAAAUAAAUAAAUAAAUAAAUAAAUAUACCAUAAUGCUUCCUGGCCCCCAUGCUCUAGUGCAUUGAGCAGAUUUUUCAGUUGUCUUUUCAAGUGAAGACAGUAUAAAUUAGUGACUGUGGGCUCAGACUUGAGAAAAGGCAAAACAAACUUGUGCCUGAAUAUUAGAAAAGCCCUUUAAUUUUUCUAAGCCAAUGCUGUUCAAAGUGUGGUCCAUAACCAACAGACUCAGCAUCACCUAAGCUUGUUAGGCAUGCCGAUUCUAAGGCCCUUUGCCCCACUUAUGAAAUCAGAACCUCUCAGAGAGUAAGGUUCAGGAAUCUGUUUUUAAAUGGGCUUUCCAUAUAAUUCAGAUGCUUUGUUAAAAUGUGAAAACCACUGCUAAACCUGUUUCCUGAUCUCUGAAAAGAAGGGAAUUUUUAAAAAUAGCUCAUGUCUAAAAUCUAGGAAACUCUCAUAAUAUUAUUGAUUAAUAAACCUUAGCAUGUAUGGAUACCUGUAUAAACACAUAUGUAUUUAUGAAUGCACACACGUAUGUGGCUUUGAAAGGAGGGGCAAAUCUUUUUCAGAUACCAAGAGUAAAAUUACUGAGGCUUUAAUCAUUGCAGUUGAAAUCUAGAGAAGUGAUAAAAUAGAUCUAAAAAUAAUAAAACUUAAUGUUAGAAUAUAUUAAGAGUUAAGUGAAAUUAUAAAUAAUUGAGUUGGUGUUCUCUAGUGGCCCAGUAUUUAAGGAUCCAGCAUGGUCACUGUUGUGACUUGGGUUCGAUUCCUGGCCUGGGAACUUUGGCAUGCUUCAGGCACAGCCCCAAACAUGUUUUUUAAAUAAUAAACAAAUGAGUCAAUGGAAGACAAUAGAGUUCUGAAAUAGAUGGAUAGAUGUACAGUCAAGUGGCUUUUCAUAAGGGUACCAAAACAAUUACGUGGGGAUAGUAAAACUCCUUCAACAAAUAGUGCUGGGGCAGCUGCAUAUUUAUAUUAAAAAUGAAGACUCUCAGAGUUCCAGUUGUGGCUCAGCAGUUAACAAGUCUGAGUAGCAUCCAUGAGGACACAGGUUCGAUCCCUGGCCUUGCUCAGUAGGUUAAGGAUCCAGCGUCACUGUGAGCUGUGGUGUAGGUCACAGAUGUGGCUUGGAUCCUGCGUUGCUGUGGUUGUGGUGUAGGCCAGCAGCUACAGCUCCAAUUUGAUCCCUAGCCUGGGAACCUCCAUAGGCCACAUGUGCGACCCUGAAAAGCAAAAACAAAAAAAAAA